GCCCCCGAAAGCUAUACAGUAUCAAUAAUGAGAUACCAUUUCUGUCAUUAACAAAUCAUCAAUAUUAUAUGAUACUGUGCAAGGAAUCUAAAUAUUUUUUUAAUGUUUCAUCUAUUCAUUGUGUUUAUUUGAAAUAUCUAACGGUCAAUGGUUUUUAGAGAAAUCGUCCAAACCAAUUACUUUCAAAUAUGAGUAAAAUGAGCUGUG
rnacentral:lncRNA from 1 species